rnacentral:rRNA from 1 species
AACGAACGCUGGCGGCAUGCCUAACACAUGCAAGUCGAACGGCAGCACGGGAGCUUGCUCCUGGUGGCGAGUGGCGAACGGGUGAGUAACAUAUCGGAACGUACCCCGUCGUGGGGGAUAACUCUCCGAAAGGAGUGCUAAUACCGCAUACGACCUGAGGGUGAAAGCGGGGGACCUGCAAGGGCCUCGCGCGAUGGGAGCGGCCGAUAUCGGAUUAGCUAGUUGGUGAGGUAAAGGCUCACCAAGGCGACGAUCCGUAGCGGGUCUGAGAGGACGACCCGCCACACUGGAACUGAGACAGGUCCAGACUCCUACGGAGGCAGCAGUGGGGAAUUUUGGGACAAUGGGGGAAACCCUGAUCCAGCCAUUCCGCGUGAGUGAAGAAGGCCUC